GAAGUUGGAUUCGCUGUAAUCGCGCAUCAGCCAUGGCGCGGUGAAUACGUCCCCGGGCCUUGUACACACCGCCCCGUCAAGCCAUGGAAGCCGGGGGUGCCUGAAGUGUGCAGCCGCAAGGAGCGCCCUAAGGUAAAACCGGUGACUGGGGCUAAGUCGUAACAAGGUAAC
rnacentral:rRNA from 1 species